GAUGAACGCUGGCGGCGUGCCUAAUACAUGCAAGUCGAGCGAACAGACGAGGAGCUUGCUCCUCUGACGUUAGCGGCGGACGGGUGAGUCACACGUGGAUAACCUACCUAUAAGACUGGGAUAACUUCGGGAAACCGGAGCUAAUACCGGAUAAUAUCUUGAACCGCAUGGUUCAAUAGUGAAAGACGGUUUUGCUGUCACUUAUAGAUGGAUCCGCGCCGCAUUAGCUAGUUGGUAAGGUAACGGCUUACCACGGCAACGAUGCGUAGCCGACCUGAGAGGGUGAUCGGCCACACUGGAACUGAGACACGGUCCAGGCUCCUACGGGAGGCAGCAGUAGGGAAUCUUCCGCAAUGGGCGAAAGCUUGACGGAGCGACGCCGCGUGAGUGAUGAAGGUCUUCGGAUCGUAAAACUCUGUUAUUGGGGAAGAACAAAUGUGUAAGGAGCUAUGCACGUCUUGACGGUACCUAAUCAGAAAGCCACGGCUAACUACGUG
rnacentral:rRNA from 1 species